rnacentral:rRNA from 1 species
AUGAACGCUGGCGGCGUGCUUAACACAUGCAAGUCGAACGGGAAACCUUUUAUUGAAGCUUCGGCAGAUUUAGCUGGUUUCUAGUGGCGGACGGGUGAGUAACGCGUGGGUAACCUGCCCUAUACAGAGGGAUAACAACCAGAAAUGGUUGCUAAUACCGCAUAAGCGCACAGGGCCGCAUGGUCCGGUGUGAACAACUCCGGUGGUAUAGGAUGGACCCGCGUUGGAUUAGCCAGUUGGCAAGGUAAUGGCCUACCAACGGGACGAUCCAUAGCCGCCCUGAGAGGGGGAAAGGCCACACCGGGAGUGAGAGACGGGAGAGACUAGGACGGGAGGCAGCAGUAGGGAAUCUUCCGCGAGGGGCGAAAGCCUGAAGGAGCAACGUCGAGUGAGUGAUGAAGGUCUUAGGAUCGUAGAACUCUGUUAUUAGGGAAGAACAUAUGUGUAAGUAACUGGGCACAUCUUGACGGUACCUAAUCAGAAAGCCACGGCUAACUACGUG